CCUGGUGGCACCAUGACAAAGAACAUCAGAGGGAAAACAAAUAUAUAAUGGAAAUUGAUGAAUUUGGGUUUGUGCAUGUCUUGAUUACUAAAAUCAUCAUUAUUUACAGACACUGAAGGCUUUAGGUAGACAUGCUUCCCUAGAAACAUGCUGUUAUUGAUUUGAAAUAAAACUGAAUCAUUGUAUUUUAUUCUUAGCAGCAGGGAAUACAGCAGACAGCCCCUCCUCAACAGACAGUGCAGUAUUCACUUUCACAGACAUCAACCUCCAGUGAGGCCACUACUGCACAGCCAGUGAGUCAACCUCAAGCUCCACAAGUCUUGCCUCAAGUAUCAGCUGGAAAACAGAGUACUCAGGGAGUCUCUCAGGUUGCUCCUGCAGAGCCAGUUGCAGUAGCACAGCCACAACCUACCCAGCCGACCACUUUGGCUUCCUCUGUAGACAGUGCACAUUCAGAUGUUGCUUCAGGUAUGAGUGAUGGCAAUGAGAAUGUCCCAUCUUCCAGU
rnacentral:sRNA from 1 species